rnacentral:lncRNA from 1 species
UUUAUAUUCUUAAACUUUUGGAUCUAUUUAACUAGUUAUAGUCUUCAGUAUCUAUUCAGGAUAUUAAAAAAGUGGGAUGGAAUCAUGUUGGCCCAAAAUUUUAAAUUAAAAUAUUCAUUAAAUAUUUUAAAUUUUUAUCUAAUAAAACAAAAAUUAAGGCAAAAUCGUAAAACUUAAUUUCUAAUUUUCUACAGCAGCUAGCAGCCGCCUUAACUCUACUUUUAUGUAAAUUUUUAAUUUUAAUAUAAUUAAAUUAAAAUAAAAAAUAAAAACUGUAUCAGUUACUUAGGGAUCGGGGAUCCUCAGGAUCCCUUGUUAUUAUUUGAGGAGAGGCCGGAGAUUCCCUAAACAAUUUUGACGGGGAUGGGGAGAGGACAAUGACGUAUGCAGAAUAUCGGGAUAGGUAAGGAGAUGUCAAUCCCCUCCCCUACUCUCCCCACUGCCAUUCAUACUUUUGAUAACGUUUUUUAUUUUGCUGUUUUUUGUUUUGUGAAAAGGAAAAUAGAUAAAACUUGUUUGGUGGCUCAUUUAUAAUGAAAAUGGUACAAUAACAAAAAAUGAAUAAUUUUCGGUCUUUAAAGUUUAUGAACAAUAUCAUAUCAAAGACACAAUUUUCUUUCUCUAAAACAAAUAUAAAAAGCAUCAAUUGGAGUACAAUACCAAACGCACCCUAAAAGCAAAAGAGAACACGUUGCUAUUGAAAUUUUGAUUUUAAUAAGGAAAAUCAAGAAUAAAUUCAAACCUUGUGCCUUUUUUUUUUUUUUUGAGUAGAAAGUUUUGAACAAUUUAUUAUUUUAUAAAUUCCAUCUUCAUAUUUUGAUUAUUACAUACGAAUUAGAUAUAUUAAGAGUUACAAGAAUUUUAUUACUCUUGUUUUUAUACAAAACUAGUUUCUCUCUUUGGCAGUGAGAUCGCAUGGAAGUGAAGUAGGCAAAAUAAUUUCCGAAUUCUUGAUGGGAGUAAAUGAAAUUCCAAAUUAUUGAUGGGUGGGGUGUGGGGAUGGGUUUACCGUUUGCCUCUUGACCUAAUGUCAUCUUUGACUCUAGUGUACUGUUAUCUUUGACACAUUCAGAGUAAAAAAUGGGGUUGGCGCUCACUUCUGCUUUUGAGUAACCGAUAAGGCGAUAACAAUCAAGAUAAUUCCCAAACUUUUUUUAUGGCUAUUGGUUACCACUCUCUGUAUUGGAAUCUAAUAAGCAACCAACGACAAAAUCCCCUAAUUUUAAAUAAUUAAUGGGAAUGAUAUAUUGGAUUUAUUCUUGAUUUUCCAUAUUAAAAUUAGGGUGCUUUGAGUCAAUGGGCUAUUGUAAAAAGCAGAGAAGAGAAACCAGACAAUCGCACAUGCAUUUUUUGAAUACUUUACGCCAUCUUUCUCAGGUUAAUUUUCCAUUAUCUUUUCUUUUGAAUACCUUACGUCACCUUUCUCGGGUUUUAUCUUUUCUUUUGAAUGCAAUCGCGCAUGCAUAUGCAUUUUUUGAAUACCGUAUGCCAUCUUUCUCAGGUUAAUUAUCUUUUCUUUUGAGAGAGUGUUUUUCCAUUACAUAAUUAAGACUCGGACAAAACUAAUGGACACAUCAAAAUCCAUUACAGUGAAUUGUAAAUUAUACCUAAAUGAAAUAAAUAUAAUCUUAAAAUCUAUAAUUGUUUCGCCCCGUGACAAAGGAAAGUGUUAUCAUUUUCUUUCAUACUCUCUUUUUCUUUUAUGCAUAAUCUAGCUUAGCCGAUGCCUUAUACAAAAAAUAGUUGCCAUUUUUUCUUUUCUUUAUUUUCAGCUAUCCGUUUCUGUGUAUCAGGAAACACAGAAAUCUCCAAAAGGAAGAUUUACUGAAAUUUUACUAUAUAGACAGACAAUUAUAAUACUACGGAAGAUGGAUGAAGGAAAAGAACAAAUGAAGACUUCACUAGUAAUUUUAUUUAAGGGCAUGUUUGUAAUAAAAUAUUCUAAAAAUUUAUGUGUUUGAUGAGUUAUUGGGCUCAAAUCAAAUACCCUCAACCUUUGUUUUAUUCUAGUAUCUGUUUUGAGACUUACUCACAUCAAAGUAUCUGCAUCCUGUUAAGUACGCGCGAUCUUAAUUUGAAUUUGUAUUUCUAAAAAAUCUUAUUUUGAAUCAUAUAAUUGAUAAUACUUUGAUAAGAAGAUAAAUAAUGUCCACAUUCCUAAUUCCUGAUGUGACUAUUACACCAUUUUAAUCCCUUAUUUACCUUUAAACUAAGAAAUAAAAAUGAACUAAAUUCAUUUGCAUAUGCAAAUUAUGAGAAAGUGUUUGCACAUAUUUUUAUAUAUUUCAAAACAAAUUUAUGAUAAUAGCAGCACAAUUUUUUUUCUUUUAUGAAUAACUCAAACAAACAAGCAUUUCCUACUAAGAAAUAACGUAGCAGUACACCAAAUUAGGAACGACAAAAUGAGCCUUACCUCUUCAAUUUCUAAGAAGCUAUUACAGCAGAGAAGAAAUCAAUAAAGAGAAAGCCUCAAACAACAUAAAUUUAUGAAAAUCAUAACAACGAAACAAUUAACAUCAUGAGAAAUCAUCCUUAAAAUAAAGAAAAUAACUAUAAUGAAAAUUUAGUUCAUAUUAUAAAAUUAAAAAAAAAAAUUGACUUCCUCUAAAACACAACUGAGAACAGACAAAUUAAACAAAACCAAAAUUAAAAUUGCAGUGAAAUAUAUUGUACGUAAGUACCUUGAAGGAUUACAGUGCUGUUGAUGAAGAUGAAGAUGGCACUGGCAGCUUAUUUGCGUCAUAUUGGAUGCGACUCUUCUUCUUCUUCCUCUUCUUCUUCUUUAUUAUGUCUCUGGUGAACCAUUAUAGAUUUUAUAGUCUCGUGCCGCAAAUUUAGACUUAUGCAUCCAACCUGUAUCUGCAACGUAGAGAGAGGUGUCCCACUCCCCGAAGACAAAAGACAGAAAGUGGGUUGAUAUUUUCGCAAUCACGCCCAAGUAACGUCAGUGUCAACUCUAUCACUUAUUAGGGUUUGCAGAAAGGAGGUUCCAUGUGACGGAAUAUAAUCGAUUCAUACCAAAAAAACGAAUAUAAUCAACUCAUACUUUUCUUACUAUUGUUUUUUUUUUAAACUAUUGUUAUUAUUAUGAUGUUAAUUUCGUUAUCAUUUUUUUUCUCCGGAACUCAUCAAAUUCAAACUCAACAUGUUCUUAUUAUUAUUAUUUUUAAUAUUGAUUACACAUCAUAUUAUUAUAUUACACAUAUAUUUACAACUGUCAUUAUAACAAACAUUACACUAAUAUUUACAAUCAGACAUACAUAACUGGAACUUGCAUUAUAACAUUAAAUUUUAUUAAAUAUAUGCCCAAAUAAAUAACCCUUACAAAUGAGGAAUGUCUCUAUUCCACUCGUAUUUCCCUCGCAAACAAGUGAUAUCACUACUUCACUCGUAUUUUGCAAGGGAGAAGGACUUACAAAUUAACUCCAUACAAUUUUUCUUUAAUUGAGGGAGGUUGAGCCCAUGGAAACUCGAACCAUUACCCUCAUAGUUAUUCUUAACUUUGAGAAUAGUGGUUCAUCCAAGUAGCUAACAUGGUCUUAUUUGGAUUUAUAAUCUCAACCCCAAGUUGGUCUACUGUAAGAAAAAUUUUAGAAUAUCUCAAAUAUAUUACAACUGAUUAAUACAUGCAUAAUAUAUGUAGUUAAAUUUAAUACAGCCAUCACUUGAAUAAUGAUUUAUAAAAUAAAUAUAUACAUGUCAUGACAUUAUUUAUUAUAUGAUUAACAUGAUACAUCGUAUGUAUUUUAAAAUUUCUACACCUGCACGUAGCUUGGCUAGAGAUGCUAGUUAGUUAAUUUCCAUUUUUGUGUGGGAGCGUACGAUAACUCAAUACGCUCCCACACAAAAAAGCACUCGACACUGGCGUACGAUAAGGACUCGUGUAUCAUCUUGAAGCCAAGUUAGCGGUUUUACAGACUCUGGUUUUGGCUUGUCUCCCUUGUUUUGGUUUUUCAGUCUUGUGCUGUACAAGUUUCAGGCCCCCAAGUUGAAUGGACAUUUAUCACUCUGUGCUCGGGGACACAUCACUUAGAUAAAUGCACCAAUGGUAUGACAUUGGUUUCUUAUUGAAAAAAAUUCACGAAAAUAACCCAAAAUUUUUAGUUACUUCGUAAAAAAUAACUCAUGUACUAAAAUAGUAAAAUUGAACAUUUGGACAAUAAUGCCCAUAGAUUAUAUGACCAACUGUCUACAUCUGUCUCAUCCCAAUCUAUUAGUGCGUUUGGGGAAGCUGCGCUGCCACCGCACAGCUGCCCCAAACAGGUCCUAUAAUUUCAAUUACAACCGUAUCUAAUGUACGUAGGAAGGUUAACAGGGUGACUGACGAGGAAUGUCAUUAUCGACAUCAUUUAAAAAUAAGUCCGAAUUGGACACGCAUUAUGGAUUUUCGAACAACUAUGUCAUCAGCGAUUUUUUUAAUCAUUUAUAUUUUUAACUUUUUUUUCUUACUAUCGUUUUUGCUUUCUUUUAUUUAUUAACGUGCAACACGAAUUCACUAUGUCAUCAACGAUGAUUUUUGAAACUAAUGAGAUUUAUGUCUACGUUUGAGUAAAUUUUUCAAGCAAAAUUAGUUUUCUUACUAUUUUUUUUUUAUUUGGAAACUAUUGUUAUUAUUAUGAUGUUAAUUUCGUCAUCAGUGUUUUUUUUUUUUUUUGGGUUUCUCAAAGGAUGGGGUCGAGAUUAUAAAUCCAAAUAAGACCAUGUUGGUUUGGAUUUGAUGAGAUCUGUAGACAGUGUUUGUUCGAAGCAUUUUAGAAUAAUUAGUAAUUGAAAUGCAAUCCAAGGAAACAAUUAUUAAUUUCAGAGAAAUUUACUUAUUUGAUAGAGAAUUUUCGAUAUCACAUUUGUACAGACACUCUUUUUCAUUUCUUCAUGAUUAACCAAUUGCUUUUUUCAACACACGGUGGCCUUAAUAUUUGUAAGACUUACCCGAAACUCCAUUUCUGUGGAAAAAUCUUUGCUUGAAGAGUACGGGCACAAUAAAUUACAACACCAAAACAAUACGGUAGCUUGAAGAAUAUUAAUGACAAUUAUAAGUGUAUCAUUUAUGAUUUAUCAAAGAAAAAUAUCGUUUUGCAGGUCCAUUUGCCAUUACUAAUAUACCACAUCCCCUAUCUCUUAACAUAUUCACCACACAACAUGUAAUGUAAGCACAAAACCGAUGCAGGUUAUACCUCUUAUGAGUGAAGCUGGCUAUCAAUCUUCAAUUUCAAAACCAAUCUUAGAAUUUUUCCACUUUCCUCUAAUUAAUGUUUUGUUUUUUUUCAUAAUUCUUUAUAUUUUUUUGUAAUACCCUACUCGAAUAUAUGUUUACUUUAUGUUUUAAGGGAUACUAUGGAGUUUGAUGUAGCCUAAAAAAAUUAAUAAUUUAGUAAUAUUAUUUAUAAAUUAAUAUAUAUUUUUAUUAAAUAAUCAAAUUAUUGAAUGUAUAUUAUAAGUAUUAUGGAACACACAUAUAUAUAGGGAGAGAAAGAAGACUUGCCACGUUUAAAUCAGGCUACAAUAAUCCUUCUUUUAGUAGUACAAUUGGCUUUAAAAAAAAACGUGAGAAAAAAAGUCAAAAGUCACUUUUACCAUCUCCCUCCUCCUAAAUUCCUGAUAUUCAAAGCGAAAGAAAACAUGUCACUAUUGAAAUAUUGAUUUUAAUAAGAAAAAUCAAGAAUAAAUUUAAUCAUUCCAGUGUAAUUAUUAAAUGACACGAAUCUAAUUAAAUCUCCUUCAAACCCUAUCUGUUUUUGUGUUUUUUUUUUCUUUUUGAGUGAAGUUUUGAACAAUUUAUUAUUUUAUAAAUUCCAUUUUCAUAUUUCGGUUAUUCUCACAGAUAUUAAAAUUAAUCAUUUAUAAAAAAAUUUCUUUUUUCUGUGGGACCUACUGUAGUGUUAUGGAAGGCACCAAUCACGGGGAUUUGAACUCGCCUUCUCAGGAGUCGGUAUUCAACAGCUCAUCAGUGAACCGAAAGAGUAAUAAAUAAUUGGUUUAUGCAUCUUUUUCCGGUAGUCAAAUUUCAAUCUUGUUUUAAUAUAUAAAUAUUAUUAUAACUGUCAUAGCUAAAUAUAAUUAAUGACAUUAAUUUUAUGGAUCAUGCUACGUUACAGUGGUACCGUGCCACUUUCUUUUGUCUUUUGUGGUAAAUUUUCAUAUAACCCCUUUCACACUUUUUUAUUUAAACUUUACUUUACAAAUAUUAAGUUAAUUUCAACUGCAUCCAUGUGAACAUUACCAAAAUACCCAUGUCGACCAACGGUGACCGGAUUUCAACUGACGGCAACGGGAAACUCGAGUUAGACACUUCUGGCUGAGCUGAGUCCAACGGUGGCGGUGGCGACCUCUCACGCGUGGUGAUGGCGCCGGAUCGAGCUCCCAAAGCCGUGAAUCCUUCAACGACCGAUCAACGGUAAAUCGGCUCCCCCGGUGGCUAUGAUUGGUCGGAAAAUACAGAGGGAAUCGUGGGGAGCAAAACCCAAGUGAUAGCGUCACCGGAAACCGAAGAAAUCGAGGCGAAUUGAAGCGGCGGUUCCGCGGCUUUUCACGGUUUCAAUCGACAGUUUUCCGAAUGCUUUUUGGCGACAAGAUUGGCAUGGAGAUGAUUAGCAUCGCAUGAUCUUCCGAUCAGUACCAACCUUGGCCGAUGAAGUGGCCGGAAAUGGAAAUAGCAUCCGGGUCGGGUUUGUGGGUUCGGCAUGGGCAUUUCGGUUCACAGAGAGGAUAUUGUGAUAAAAGUGCAAUAUAUAAUAAGAAUUUGUAAAUAAUAAAUAGUAUAAAGUGCUAACUAAAAUGUUUAUAUAGAUGCAGUAGAUAUUAACUUAAUAUUUGUGAAUCAAAGUUUAAAUAAAAAUAAAUAAAAAGAAAUUAUAUGAAAAUUUACAAUCCUGCAGUCAUAAAAAACAAAGGAUGUGGCACGGUACCACUGUAGUACCGUAGCCUGAUCCUAAUUUUAUAUGUAUAUUAAUUAAGUUGUGAUUGUUCUUCGUCUCUUCUCAUCAUGCUGUGUUAAAGUGUUACGUUUCUACUGCCUGGGGCCCUAGUCUUGUGCGAUGGGAGUACGGAACCAAUGAUUUAGAGUGGUCUGUCGUUCCAUCUGUACCGACCCACCUGUUUUGGUUUCGUAUAAAGAUAUAAUUUAAUUAAUGAUAUUAUUUUUUUAUAUAUAAUAAUUAUUAAGAAUGUCGUCAUGACAGCGACGACGACAACUCCAAAUUUUCCAAGUCGUUGUAGGAAAGGAGUGGACCGAUAAAAGAGCUUUUUCGCCCACUUAUCAUCUGCUUUGUUUCCUUGUGUAGACCGAAGGUAAGGUGAUAAUUCCAAUUUCCAAAGCCUGCUUGGGAAUAAAAUACUGUAUUUUUUAAGUUAUAAUUAUUGUAAAAAAAAUUAUAAUUAUAAAAUAAAAGUUAAUAAUAUAUAGUAAAUAUAAUUUUUUAAAUAAUAAUUUGAAAAAAUUAUUAAAGAUAUAAUAGAUUUUUCAUCAUACAAGUAAAAAAUUAUUUCAAAUUAGCUUCUAAGAUACAAUAGGUAGUGUUUAUCAUAUACUUUAAUAUUGUACUUUUUAAGAUAUAAUUGCCCAACCUUAAUUCCAAACGUACCCCUAGUCACAUAUCUGUAAGGUGAAGGGAUGUAAUUUAUAUUGCGCUUGCUAACUAUGACGGUAUUUUAGGCCUUGCGAAAACCAUUAAGCAAAAUUAUCGUAUUAUUUUCAUUAAGUAUUGGAGAUGAAAUUUAGAAUAGUAUAAAGGAGAUCCUGAAUGAACAUACUGUCGUUUUAAUUCAAUUUUAUUUGGUGAUAAUUUUCAGUUCAAGCAAGCUGUAAACGAUGAAGAUUGAUUCAGAUGUAUAAUUUUAUGGAGAAAGGGCUCUCAGAUGUUAAUUUGCUGAAGGGUGCAUCGGCAGAGAGGCAUAUCAACUUUGUUUCCAGAAGACUAAUUUGCAAAGACUUUUUUAUAUUUCCAGAGUCAAUGGAAUUUUUCUGCCUUUCUAGAGUGUUACCUCAAUUAGCAAACGUAUCAAUGAAAAUGAGAAAUAAAAUUAUUGUUCAUCGGCAGAGAGGCAUAUCAACAAUAAUCAAUUAUCAAUUGGAAAACUUCUUUAUAUUCAAACCUCUUUCUCCCACGAUCUAGCAGAUCACAAUUAUAUUAUGUAGACCACUUGUUAGUUGACACACUCCCAUUAAAAGCUAACUAUUAUCUUCUCUAUAAAAUAAAAAAUAGAAAAGGCUUAUUUUGGUGUAAUGGUCUUCAAGAUCAUACGCUCCUUUGAUCAUACACAUGCCUAAACCAUGCAUACAAUUUAUAAAUAAAAGAACAUAGGUAUUUUUUUGGUGAAUUUAUUUUCCAAAAAAAAAGAAAAAGAAGGAUGCUGGUGGUGCAUAAGAUUAUGAUUUGUAAUAUAACAAGCAAAAAUUGAUCUUCACUUUCACUUUAUGGUCGUGGUUGAGUUAACAAAGUCUAGGGUUAAAACACUUCACUCUUUUCUUUAGUGACAGUGCUUAGCGUUUCAGGAUCAGGGCUUCUCUGGUUUUAAAUUUCAUAGCAAUGGUGAAAACAGACCAGCUAUUUCUUUGCAGUCAGUCUCUGCAAUCAAAGAGGCCAAACCCAAUUUUUUUUUUUUUUUGAAACUGCUAAACUGACUUGUAUUCACCCUAUAUAUAUAUAUAUAUAUUUCUUUUUUCACUAUGACCUUUCUGGAAAAGCGUUUACAUACAUGCAUGCAAUCAUACAUACAUACAUAAAUAAUGCAUAUAUGCAUGUGCAUAAAUAAUAACAUGAAUAUAUAAAGUGGAGAAACUUCUAAGCUUGGUUUGGAAAUUGAAGAUUGAUUUCCUUGGUUCAAACAAAUGACUACAAGAGACUUAUUAUAUAUAGGUAUUACAUUUAAAAACGUUAAAAAAAUUGAAUGUGUAGAACUGAAAUGAUGUGAAUGUAAUAGUCACAUUAUUAAUAAGAAUUUAGAAUUAAUAAUGUGGACAAUGUUUUCUUUUUUGUUAUUCUAUAUAUUUUCAAAUUUCAAAAUUUAAGAUUGGACAAUAAAAGUAUGUAUAUACUAGGAAUCCAGUGCAACUCACCGACUAAUUAUGAAUUGUUAUUCCAAUUGAAGGUAUAAUCAAUCGGCUAUUGUAAAAAGCAGAUGAGAGAAGCCAUACAAUCGCAUAUGCAUUUGUUGAAUACUAGCACAUACGUAUAAGAAAAAAAUCUACAUUUCAAACUAAGAGAAAUCUAUUAUUUAACUAAUACUAAUUAUUUGACAUGGUCUCUUUUAAAUCAAAAUCUUAGUUCACUUCAGGGGCUUAUUUAAUUGUGUUGAUGUGAAUUUUAAGUACCCAGUAUAUUUAUUAUUAAAGCAUUAUUUUAUUAUCUCAUACUAUUUGAUUUAAUAUAUACAAGAAUUUUGCUUGUGGUGCUGGAGAAUGAGAAUUUUGCCUAUGAUGCACAGGUAGACAAUGAGCAUUUUCAACACAAAAUGAAAAAAUCUACAGCAACAAUAGGGCGCUUCUCACAUGCUUCCUCACUAAUGAAUUUACUCGCCCUUCUCUCUCUCCCCCCCUCUCUCUGACUGUAUUCUUUUUUUUUUUUUUCAACUGGGAUACAAAUUUUUUUGUGCGUGUACUGCAUUUCAUAUAUAUAAAGCAGCGUUGCAUUCCUGUAAUAAGCUCAGUAGAAGAGAAGCUAAAUGCAGAAAGAGAGAAGACAGGCAAAUAUACUUCAAAGACGGAAUUCGACAAAGGAGAAAAAAAAAUUGAUCGCACAACAACAUAUAAUACUCCUCAGGCAAAUGGCAAUUUUCAUUUCAAUGUUUUUAUUUAUUUUUAAUGUUUUAUUUUUAUUUGCAUUUUGUGCAUAGGUGACAAUUCAUGAAAAAUAGAUAGCCAUACACUAGCUUCCCAGACCUGUGUUAAUAAAUUCCCUACUGUUUGUCAAAAUUAAUCAAUUCCUCUCACAACUCAUCAAAAUACUAUGUGUUUUUUCAUUUUUAAUCUUUUACUAUUAUAAUUUUUUUAUUGAUUUAUGGUGAAUUUUUACUACAUCAAAAGUAAAAUUGUAAAAAAAUACAAUAAAAAUCAAGUUAAAAAUAAAUUAAUUUACUAAAAGAAGGGCAGGCUUCUAAUUCUUUCCCGAAAUAUGUUACACUUUAUCAGACCAAAUGUGGUAAUUGAAUGUAAAAGAAAAUCUUCAAUAUAUAUAAGAUAGAAAUUAUCUAGCUUAAUACUAACUUGAUGUUUUUGACUAAUACAAGAGUUGCUUUUGAUAAGUAAAAUUAUAAUAUGGUAUGCUAAGAAACCCUAAGAGAUAUAUACGUGGAUAAACAAUCAUAACACUAAAGAGGAUUUUGGUAUCAUCCUUGGAAAAGCUUUAAAUCCUCUACACUUAGUUGGCGAGCUAGCUAGCUACAUUGGCAAUAGUUGUUGUUGGUUGUUUCCUCCAAAUCUAUUCUAAAAUUGUAGAAUCUUCUUAUGAAGCCUCUAGCUGUAAGCAACAAGAAGAAGAACAAAAGUCCACGUAAUGAAACUGAAAUGUGUUUAUGGUUGUGGCAGAAUAAUGGGGACCAAUGAGAUUGAGCAAAUAGAAUCUGAGAUCAUAGCAAUUGCCUUCAACAUUUGAAGCUUCAAUUUCAAGGCAGCAAAAUAUGCAAAGCUGUAGAUGAGUAGCACCAACAGAAAUGGGCACAUAUUCAUCUUAUGUGUUCCAAUCAAGGGUUUAUUUUUGUCUUGAACAUUGUUAAUUUCAAUAACUCUGACAAAUAAUGAAAUUAGAAAUACAAAGACUGUGUGGUAUGGUGCCAUUGAUGAUGAGAAAUUUGGCAAACUGUAAAACCAUCAAAAUAAGAUAAAAUUACCUAAUUAGCAUAAUAAAUUUUUACAUAAAAGUACUAUAUAGUUGCAGUGGGGAUUGAAGAUGAUCAUAGUCUGUGAUGGUUAGCGAUGCCUGGGGCUAAGUUUAGCAAACCAGCAGUGGAGAUUGAAGAUCAGCAUAUGCUGUGAUGAUCAGUGACGACUAGUCACACACGCUGAUGCGCUAGUUUUUCAGUUUGGAUACGAAAUAGGGAUUACUGAUAACGGCUGUAAGGCCCUGUUCGUUGGAAAUGAAUAUCGAUUCUGUCUUUUCUGAUUCAUACUACUUGGUUUGUUUCGCUGAUUCGCUCUACUUCAGCAUUUAAGAUGAAGAGAAGUAAAACAUUCCAAGUUUAGUUUGUUUAUUAAUUCAAUUUUAAAUCCAAUGUAAUACAAAAAUUUUAAAUGAGAAAAAUUAAUAAUAAUAAUAAUAAUAAUUGAAUUACAAAGCAGCUAAUUUCUAGAAGUUCACACUAAUUUCUCCUUACACGGCCCAUGAUCGAGGAAGGUAACGCAGGCAAAUGGUUCAGAUUCUCCUUCAGGAAGUGACGCUCGAAUUGAUCCAUACAGGCCAGCUUCUCUUUGCGUUGCGUAAUGAAAUGGUAUAAAUAUGUUCCUGGUUGCAGUAAGUCAAAAAAUUUAUUAAAUGUUUGUUUGUUGUUGUAUAGGAGCGCAUGAAAUUUGACUCAAAAGCUAGGUCACAUAUGCUAUGGGACAAAAAAUUGAAAAUUUAAAACAGAGAACAUUAGACCUGGGCUCGGCCCUUUGUAGCCUCUUUUAUUAAGUGGAUCAUACAGGUAAAGUGUGCAAAAUAUGUUAAAUUACUUGAUCCUAAAGUUAGAAUGUCUAGGGAUGGCAAUGGGGAGGGGAGGGGAGGGGACCAAUCUCCCCAUACCCAUCCCCGAUGUUUUGCAUAUGUCCCCGUCCCCUCCCCGUCCCCGUCAAAAUUGCUUGAGAGAAUCCCCAUCCCCUCCCCGAAUAAUAACAGGGGAUCCCCGAGGGUCCCCGGUCCCCGAAUAAUUAAUAGUCUAAUACAUUUUUUAUUUUCGAUUUUAAAUUAAUCAUAUUAAAAUAAACUCAUACCGCUAUUGUAAGCUCGUAACCAACUUUGACAGCACAUUAAGUCCUCCAAUGUGCUUGGAUGAAGUUUGUUAUGGUAUGAGCUCACAACUCUACCACUAGUGUUAAAAGCUGAUUCAGAAGCAACUGUUGUAAUUGGAAUUGCCAAAAUAUCUCUAGCAAUUCGAGCUAAUGUAGGAUACCUAUUAGCAUUUGUCUUCCACCAACUCAAAAUAUUAAAAUCUUCCAUCCGAGAUAUAACUUUCUCAUCCAAAUAUGAAUCUAAUUCAUCUGCAACAACUGCACAAUCUCCAUUGUUUACAUAAUCAUUAAAACCUGUCAUCCAUUUGGUUGCUUUCUUAUAAGAAUCCCCUGUAGAUCUAGUAGAAGAACUACUACCAGUAUAAUCAAAGCAAUAAACAGUUGGUGAAAACUUCAAUUAAUACUCUUCAACUAAUUCCCGGCAAAGGGUGACCACUUUCCCAACAUACAACUAUUUUGAUAUUUAUUAUUUUUAACAAUAUUUAUAAUUUUGUUAUUUAUUUAUUAGUAAUUUUAAAAAUAAAAAUAAAAUUAAAAAUUAAAAUGGGGAAAUGGGUAGGGGAUGGGGAUUCCACCUCAUCCCCGUCCCCUCCCCGAAUAAAAAGUUGGGUAAAAAAUUUUCCCCGUCCCCUCCCCGAAAAAAAAAUUGGGUAUAAAAUUAUCCCCGUACCCUCCCCGAAUGGGGAAAAUCCCCGAGGGUACCCAUCCCCGUGGGGAUUUUUGCCAUCCCUAAGAAUGUCAGUAUAAAAAAAAUCGAGACAAGAAAAUUAAAAUAGAUAUUUGAGGUUUAAAUAUUAGUCGAAAGUUACGUUAAUAAGUAAUUAUUAAUAAAUUUUUUCGAUGAAUCAAGUUAUUUAAUUACUUCCCCUAAAAGUUGGAACUUCGAUCUUAUUAGAUUAGGAGUAAGAGAUUGGAAGGAGAUGUGAGGUUUAAAUAAGAAAUUGACUUUAUGAUGAUAUUGAUCUUUAAGAUUUUGGAAGCUUUAUCUUGUAUACUAUGUUAAUAUUUUAUUAGAAGUUGUUUAUCUAAGGAAAAAAAAAUGGUUAGAUUGAAUGAUAAGUUUUGUUGAAACUUUGAUCCGGUUUUAACCCAUUUGAUAAAAUUUCCAUUAAUUUGUAAAUUUGUUAAUGCAAAUAAAUAUUUGUUUGUUUGCGUAGAUGUCCAACUUUUGUACAUAUUGCAUCAACAACUUAUUGUUGAUUUCAGGGGGAAUUUGCUUUGUCGACAAAUUUUUAUAAACAAGGAAUAUAAGAUCCUACCUUAAAAAAAUGAUAAGUUUCUAAUAAAUGUACAAUUAUUUUCAAAUAAAUUUUCAUGUCUUCUUACACAUCCGAUCUGAUCAAUUUGCAGAUUUGAUUGCCAAAUAAAAUCAAAUAGUUAAUCUAUUAAAUGGAUUUAUGAUAAAUGCCUUUAAGCUGCUUUUUUUUUUAACUCACGAUGCAUUGCAAGCAAGCAAUACAACUAUACAAGAAUCUUUUAUUGAUCUUUCAAAUGAAAUGAAUUUUGUCGAUAACUAAUUACAAGCAGAUAAAUUUUCUUGGGGUCAAAAUUAUUAACCAAAAAAAAAAAAGAAAAAGAAAAGGAAAAGUGAAAAAAAGUGUCCUAAUUUUCCACGAGUUUAACUAUUUCCUGUGCACGCAGCCCUUAAUUGAGGAAGGCGACUCCCCAAGCCUCGCAAUCCCUUCAGCAAACACUAACUCCCAUGCCCAUGUAUUUUUCAUAAUUGGAUCCACCAAAUUAUACUCCUUCGGAUCACUGUAGAUAUCAAAUUUGCCUUCUCCAUUGCCCAAUACCCAAAAAUCAUGGCCAUGAAGAUGCCAAGGAUGUGUCUCACUCGUCUUGUUACUCAUAGAAUUUGCAUUCUGCAGAAUAAUAUCCACUGUUGAAUUCAGUUAACGAAAGGUUUAUUUUCCUUGAAAACAGAGAAAACAAGGGCUAAUAUCUGAGAGUCCUUUCUUUAUAAAAUUAGACAUCUGAAUAAAUCGUCAUAACUGUUUACAGCUUGCUUGAACUGAGACUAUUACCAAAUAAAAUUAAAUUAAAGCCACAGUAUGUUCAUUCAGGAUCUCCUUUAUACUUCUACAAAUUCCAUCUCCAAUGCUUAAUGAAAAUAACACAAUUAUUUUGCUUAACGGUUUUCACAAGGCCUAAAAUUCCGUUAUAGUUAGCAGGACAAUAUAAACUACGUUCCUUCACAAUGACUAAUUAUAAUAUCAUUAAUUAGAUUGAGCUAGCUAGGUUAUGAUAAUAUUUAGAAAUUUAAAAAAGAGAUUGAAUGUUAUCUGAAAAAGAGCAUUAAUUAUUGCUUUGUACAUUAUUUUUAUGGCUAUGACUGUGUUGGAGCUGAUUUAUGGUGGAGCACGAAUCUCAGCUACACACGUAAAGUGAUAAAUAAUAAAAAUUUAUUAUAACUUUAAUCGUGUAGUUAUUAAAGAAUAUUUUACCUUAGAGUGAUUCUAACAUAACCGAACCUUAUUUUUAUAACCGUUUGAGAUUCAUGCACAUGCGAGGCAUCUGAAAAACAUUUAAAAUUAAACAUCAGCAUCAGCGGUCUCUGUACCCACAGAAAGUCAAUGCCUCAAUGAAAGUGCAGUGCUGAGUGAGACAUGUUCGUCUCUUUUGCACCCCCUAUUUUUGUGAUUUAUUAAAAGGCUCUUAUCCUGUAGGUUAUAUUGAUGUUUUACCAUUAUUUUAGUAUUUCCAAAUUUAGAAUUAUUCUAGUAUUCAAACUAAGUGUAAUGCUUUUUUGUUUAACAUGAAAAGUAAUAUUUUUUAAAAAUAUUUCUUAUUCAAAAUUUUGUUUCUACUCAGACCUAAGAAAAGAAAUACCAUUGUUAAUUUUUCUCUCUUUAUUAUGAUACUUGCAAGUAAAUUUGAUAUUUCUUAUCAUAAACUGAUUUUUGAAAUUAAUAUGUUCACUUAAAUAUUAAUGGGGUAUAUUUAGCUAAUUUUGAAUUUAAUUAUUUUAUUUAAAUAUUCAAAUUACUUUGUAGAAUAGAUCUAGUGGGUUCUAAUAAUUUUUUUUAGUAUAAAUAUCAACAUUUUUACACGUAUUUUGGUGCUUUGUAUAUGAAGAUUUUAUAAGUAUAAUUUUUUAAUAAUUAUAAUUUAGUAUGGAAUCAAUUUUUAUUGUAAUGUGCCGCAUUUCUAUGAUUUAUUUAUUUUUUUAGAUAAUAAGUUGAACAAAUAUUUUUUUUAAAAAGGUAUUAUAUAAACUGUUUUUUUUUUGAGGUAUAAACCUAUAUAAUUGUCUACCACCAACAUCAUCAAGAUAAUCAUACAAUCCAUACUUUGCACGAUGCGAAUUCGAGCUUGGAGAGUUUGAUCUGAUGGCAAUAAUCUCUCUCGUCAGUAAAAAUGCAAAGGAAACAUGCUCAGUUACAAAACCAAGACGCUCAGCUAAAGGAAUGAUCCCCAACAUUCUCAGAAGAAAACCCAACCCAGAAAAUUCACACAAGGAAAUCAAAAUCAACAGUAAAAGGAAAUGUAAUUUUCACAAGCUUUUUGAACCAAACCUUGCGACGACGGCGAACCCAACCUUGCGAUGGUGGCGAACCUAGCCGAGAGUUGUUUGACUUGCUUGCGGGACAGCGGAAGGCAGCAGCAGCAGCGGCAGCACAGCUAGGGUUUGUCUUGUUUGGGUAAAUCGCGAUUUGUGUGUUUGAGUUGUGAAAUAGAAUUAGGUUUUUUUUUAUGUUUGUAUUUAUAUUUACUAAUAAAUAUAAUUAAAAAUAAUAUAAAAAAUAAAUCCGGGUUCGGGUUCCGGAUACACGGGUUAUUCCAAACCCGGACCCGGACCCGGGUUCAUCCGGGUUAUUAAAACCCAUUCCGGAUCCGGAUUUUUUUCCUCUCUGAUAUGAGUUCAACCUGGCCCGGAUUAUCCGGGUUCGUCCGGAUCCGGACCGGGUCCGGGUUAUUUUGACAUCCCUACGCAUUUCUAUGAUUUAUUUAUUUUUUCAGAUAAUAAGUUGAACAAAUAUUUUUUUAAAAAAGGUAUUAUAUAAACUGUUUUUUUUUUUUUUUGAGGUAUAAACUAUAAAGGGCAGUACUGAGUAGAAGAAGCAGGAAUGCGAACGGAGCACUGCUACACUGCUGAACUGCGGCUCAAAGAUGGAGAAAAAUUUCUGCGUGUGUUGGCAUCUCCCUCAUUGACUCGAAAAGAAAAGAAAAUAAAUUUUGAUGAAACAACGUACAUCAAACUGAGUCCGCGUCGUCGCUGCAUGUCCGAGGGACGGUUGACCCCUGAACGAGCGACUCGUGAAAAGACCGUUCCAAGCCCAUAUGAAAAAAAGACAAAAAGGAUCAGCUGUGGCAUGCUGUCAGCUACUCUUAGACUUUGGUCCCACUUCGUUGAAUAUUAAUUAAUGCAAGUGAAAACUUACGUACCGUGCGGGCGUGACUUGGAAGCCCACCAAACAAAACAUAUCUGCUCCAGCAGCCGCUUUUGCAUUCACCAGGCCCACUUGUAGACUUGUAGUCACCAUUCCGCGCAGCUUCUGCGUGGGCACAUCCAGCACAUAUUCUACGUACUGGAUCUGUUUCUUCCACAAAUUCCCGGAAGUUGGCAACAGGCUCUUUGCUGCUAUACAGAAAUAUAUUUUAAUUUCUAACUUCAUGCAUGAAUCAUUCGCACUCGUGGCAACUAAAAGAAAAUUAAUAUUUUUCUUAUAGAAUCGAUGACCCUUGAUGAUAAUGUGCUCUUUCGGCCUUUGAAUCCAUUGGCCCAUUAAGUGGACUUGCUGCCUCUUGAAUAUUUUGUUGAUUUGGGUCUAUACUAAUAUAUGCAUUGUUUGGAAUUCCUCGUAUCGACAUUCUUUUCCUGUUUUUAUUCCUUUUCAGAUUUGAUAUUUUCUUCCAUUGUUGGUGAAAUGUGGAAAUAAAUAUCCUGAUUAGCUUCAACACUUCGAUUUCAGGGGCAUAGUCGCUCAGGAACACUAAGUACAUUGUUUGGGCUGUAAUUGUUGGUAGUCAAGAAACAAAGGUUUGUCAUCAUGAAGUUUACUGCGACAAAUGAUGCCCAUUUUCCUUGUUACUCCUUGUUCAUAUUCAUAUUUAUAAUAGCUUACAUUCACUAUGACUGGAAUUUCCUACUUUAAGGGGUUUGAUACUUUUUGUAAAUGCUGUGACCAUAAAGAAAGUUUUUAUAAAUUACCUACUCUAUCUUUAACCUUCUUUAGAUUUUGCUACGUACUAUCGAAUUUUGAAUUACUAUCAGUCAUAUUUUUGUUCAAUUCGUGUGACUAAAAUUUGUAGUCGAGGUUCUUUCUCCCAACAAUACAAAAUUGUCACAUUUUUUUCCCCAGGUAACCAGUUACGCAAAGCCGAAAUACAUUAUUGUGCUUCAAAAUAAUGUGAAAUGAAAUAAAUGGUCAAUUGGUCGCAAAAUAGCACUUCUAUAAUCUAGUUUUUUUUUCAGUAACUAGAUUGUCUUGGAUUUUUUAUUUUAGCUACGAUAGAAAAUAACCACAAAAAACUUUUGUAUACGACUUAACUAGCGAAAUUACAAAGUACGUUGUGCUUAAAAAAAUAAGACUACCAAUUGCAACCACAAAAGGUGUCAUAAAUAAUUAUUAUUGGGGACAAAAAUAUUACGUCUAAUUAUUGGAGACAAAAAUAAACGUCUUGAUGGCUAACAUUUAGUGACAAGAAUAUAUUGUCAUUAAUUAUAUUUUCAAACCGCCAAAAGUUUUUUUCUUUUUAAAUAGCAUUUGCGACUAUUUUUAUUAACCCUUGAGACACAUGUUUUAGUCGUUAUAAAUCACCUACAGUGAUAAAAAUAUAGUGUCGUUGAUUGCACAAUUAAACAUCUAAAUCGACUAUUUUAAAUACCAUUUAAAAUAAAUUACAAGUAAAUCACUAUUAUUAAGUGCAAAACAUCGAUAUUAAGGGAAGUAAACAAUGCAAAACUAGUGCAUAAAUUGCACUUUAACAAAUUCCCCCACACCAAGAUGAUGCUUGUCCUCAAGCAUAUAACUCGAGACUAAUCUCAAAUCUCCACUAAAUUCUCAUCUCAACUCAUCCAAAAACAAUUUUAAGCAAGCAUACCUCAAGAAAUUAAGUCGUUCAACAUUCGAGAGACAGGGAUUUUAAAGCAUAGAAUUUCAUAAGAUAGAAUAAGAACAUUCAACCACCAAGAAGAUCCAUUCAAAAUUCAAGUGCAACAAGAUUUAAUAGCCCUCUCAAUAACUUCACUCCAUGCACUCAAAGUGUUUAGGGUGUCAUUUAUCCACUCAAAUCAAAUCAAAGAAUGUUAUUACCAUAAGCUUGCUCAUAUAUCACAUCUCAUUCCACAAAACAUGAAUAAAAUGCAAAAAUCUAAGGGUCUUAAAAGGGUUGUAAUGGGGUUAAAUGGGUUAAAUGAAAAAGAAAAGUUUACGAAAGAAAAAGUGAUCAAAACGAGAAGAAUGAACUCAUUGAAUGAACUUAUGAUAUUAAAAUGCUUAUUUCUACUCAAGUCACUAAGAAUAUAAACAUUUUUUUUCUUUUUUUUAUUUUUCUUUUUCUUCUUUUUUUCUUUUUUUUUGUUCUUUUUUUGUUCUUUUUUUGUUCUUUUUUGUUCUUUUUUUUGUUUUUUUAUUUUUGUUUUUGAAGAAAACAAAAGAAACGAACCUUGCACAAUUUAAUUCAAGCAUAAUGCUUGUUGAUCUAAUUGAGAAACUUUAAUACAAGGUAGAAAAAAUAACAAAAUAUAUCCACACAAUGAGUCCAAAAAUCUCCUUAAAUUGAGGCUCAAAAAGAAGAAAAAUGGUUAAAUAGACGGAGAGAAUUAGACGGGUAAUGAUUAAGGCUCAAACGAAGAUAGCAAAUAAAGGUCUUCGGGUAGAGAAAAAGGAAAAUGAGAGAAUAGAAAAAUGAUAAAUGGAUUUCUUAUCAUUUUAAUGCAUAAAAUCCCGUAAUGUGGCUUCAACAUGCAUAACAGAGCAAGUUCUAGAAUAAACAAACUAGGAUUGAUAUUCACAUAACAAAAAUAAUUAGAGCAAAGUGGUUGCUCAUAGGCUCAAAUCCUCAUAAAGUUGGUAAAUUUGCCAUCAAAUCAUGUACACUCUUCAAAUGAAUCAACCAUCAAUAGUGGUGUAAAAUGAGAAGAAGGUAUGAAUGAGAUAUAAAAGGAAAGGUAAAAAGGAUAAUAAGCGAGAAAGAUGUAUGUAGUAAAAAAAAUGAAAGAUAAAAUAUGAGUGAUGAAAGAGUAUGAUAGAAAAAAAAUAGAUAUAAAUAAUUUGAGAUAGAUGGGAAAAAAGUAGUGAGAGAGAAAAGAAAAGAAAAAUAAUAAUAUAUGAAGCAUACUAACUCCAAAAUCAUUUAAGGAUGAGUAGAGUGAAAAUAAUAAUUCCAGACAACAAUAAUGCAAAAAUCCCUUCCCCACACCAAGAACUUACAUUGUCCCCAAUGUAAGAUAAUUAAAGCUCACAUAAAAAUUAAAGCGUAAGGAUAAAAGAUUAAAGGCAAAAAAAAAAAACUUCCCUGAAUUGUGAGCUUUGAUCCACAUAACGUCUAUGGGCUUGGCGGAAAUGGUGGGAUAGUUGCGCACGGGCUGCUGCUGCGGGAGAUACUGAGAUGCGUGGAUUGCUGGGCGUGCACGGCUGCUCGGUGAACGCAGCUGUUGCUCUGGUGAAGGCUGGAGCGGUUGGUUGCUGGGAAAGAAAACAAUUUUUUAUUUUUCUUUUAGUGAUGAAUCACUUGAGACACUAAAAAUUUUAGAAGUACUUUUCUAAUAAGCACGUGGGCACGCCUUAAAACCAUUUUACUUUAAAAAUCACAGAAGUACUUAUUAGUUAAGACGUGGGCACGCCUUAUCAAAAAUUUUCUUCUGACCAAAAUAAGCAAACACAUUAUUUUUUUAAAAAAAUCUGAAUCAAAAUUAAAAGAAGAUAUAACAAAAACCAAAAUAAAUAAAUCAUUUGGGUUGCCUCCCAAAAAACGCCUUUAUUUUAUAUUUUUGGCUAGACACAUUUAUGCAUCAAUCUCCAUAAUUGGGACUCUCGAGAGCCACAUCCUCCAUAAUAUUCACCAAAAAACUUUCAUAAAAAGGUUUUAAGCGAUAACCGUUAACCUUAAAAACUUUGUCUGAGGUCAGACUCCGAAUCUCAACUGCACCAUGAGGAAAAAUAUUAGUAACAAUAAAAGGUCCAACCCAGCAAGAAUGUAAUUUACCCGGAAAAAGUUUAAGCUUAGAAUGAAAAAAAAGAACUUUUUGACCAACAGAGAACUCCUUUUUCAAAAUCAUUCUAUCAUGAAAUGUCUUCGUUUUUUCCUUGUAAAAAAACUUCCUGCACUAUAGGGUUAAUAAUAUCCACAGAAAAUACCGAAUGUUCCUCACUAGGAUAUUUCAUGGUAUCAUUCAUAUUGAAUUCUAUAACCUCUUCAUCAAACUCCAUAGUGAGAGUUCCUUUAUGUACAUCCAUUUUAGUCCUAGCAGUCUUAAGAAAAGGUCUUCCUAGCAAAAUUGGGACAGAAUUAGAGGAGUUAUUAUCUUCCAUAUCAAGUACAUAAAAAUCAGUAGGAAAAACUAACUCAUUAACUUGUAUUAAGACAUCUUCUAAUACCCCAUCAGGAUAUGCAUUAGACCUAUCAGCUAGUUGAAUUAUCACGCCAGUUUCUUUUAAUGGACCAACAUUCAAAGAUGAAUAAAUGGAACGAGACAUGACAUUAAUAAAAGCUCCUAGAUCUAACAAAGCCUUUUCAAUUCUAACACUACCAAUUUUACAAGGGAUAGUAAACAUACCUAGAUCCUUGCACUUAGGAGGUAGUUUCUUUUAGAGAACUGCUGAAACAUUCUCCCCCAUGUGAACUUUUUCAUCUCCUCUUAAUUUUCUCUUAGAGGUGCAUAGUUCCUUAAGGACUUUAGCAUAUCGAGGUAUUUGUUUUAUAGCAUCUAAUAAAGGAAUAUUUACCUCAACCUUGCGAAAUGUCUUAAAGAUGUCUUUCUCUUGUUCCUCCUUCUUGGAUUUUGCAAACCGGCUUGGAAAAUGAGGAGGUAUCACAAUAGGUAGGGGUUUUGCUCUGGUGGGUUCCACAUGAUGAGAUUGAGGCAUCAAUUCAUUCUUCUCAAGCUCAUCUUCUACAUGCUUUGUCACUUUCUUACUAGGCUUUUGCAACUCCGUCCCACUUCUAAGGAUGACAGCACUAACGUUUUGCUUUGGAUUCACCUCAGAUUGUGAAGGCAAUCUCCCUAAUACUUGAGACUCCAGACGGCUCACUGUAGUCGCUAAUUGACUCAUUUGGUUCUCCAAAUUCUGAAUGCUUGCUGUAGUUGCCUGCUGAAAUUGUUGAGUGUUAGUCGCAAGCGAUUUAACAAUUUCUUCAAGAGAUAUACCUGACUUGGAGGUUGACUGUAGAGGUGCUGGUUGUCUUGGUGGAUACUGUUGUGGGAAUCUUGACGGCCUAACUCCAUAGCUGAAGUUGGGAUGAUCCUUCAAUCCCGGAUUGUAUGUUUAUGCAUAAGGAUCAUACCUCCUCUGAGGCAUGCUUGGAAAUCCUCCAACUGCAUUGGCUUGUUCAACGGGUUCUUCUUGAAGUGUAGGACACAUAUCGGUUGAAUGACCCAUAUUGUAACAAAUGCCACAAGUCUUCACCUGUUGCACAUUACCUACAACAAACUUUUCCACAAGAGAAGUAAGUUUAUCUAAACGUUGUUCAACAGAAGAAAUAUUUACAUCAUUCACCUUCCUUGAAGUGAGAUCUUGCCUGCUGCCAAAUUGUUGUGCAUUAGCAGCCAUAUUUGAUAUCAACUCCCUUGCUUGAGUAGGGGUCUUGUUCACCAACACGCCUCCACUAGCAGCAUCUAUCAUACUCCUAUCCAUCAAUGACAGUCCUUCGUAAAAAUAUUGAAUAAGAAGUUGAUCAGAAAUUUGAUGCUGAGGACAGCUGGCACACAAAUGUUUGAAUCGCUCCCAAUGCUUAUACAAAGUCUCCCCAUGAAGUUGUCUGAUCCCACAAAUAUCUUUUCUGAUGUUGGCAGCUCUUGAAGUAGGAAAGUACUUCUCGAGGAACUGCUUUUUCAAACCAUUCCACGUUGUAAUCGAUCCAGGAGGCAAGUAGUACAACCAAUCUUUAGCUAACCCAUCUAAAGAGAAUGGAAAAGCACGCAGCUUAAUCUGCUCUUCAGUCACGCCUUGUGGCCUCAUGCUUGAACACAUAACAUGAAACUCCUUAAGAUGUUUAUGAGGAUCUUCACUUGCAAAACCAUGAAACUUGGGUAAUAAAUGAAUAGGACCAGACUUUAAUUCAAAAUUUACCUCCAAAUCUACAUAUUGAAUGCAGAGUGGUUGCUGAUUCAAGUUGGUUCAACUAACUCUCUAAGAGUUCUUUCUACAGGUACAGGUCUAUCCAUCACUAGUUCUUCUGAAUCGCUAGAUGAUUCAACUAAAUCAGGUACUGUAUCUAUUUCAGAAAGCAAAGGCGACGAGGAUCGUUGCUUAGCUCACUUUGUCUGCUGUCUCAGCUGGCGAGCUGUCUUCUCAAUUUCAGGAUCAAAUGAAAGUGUACAUGUAUGAGAAGAACGAACCAUACAUCAAGUAAAACGUAAAAAAGAUUAAAUAAAUGACACCAAUCCCCGGCAACGGCGCCAAAAUUUGAUGGUUGUCGAAACUAACAAAAAUAAAUUCCUACUCUAAAUAAAUUGUGUACAGUGAUUGACCAGGGUCGUGUCCACAGAGAUCGGUAAUUAUUUAAAUCCUUUUAAAACGUAAAACAUAAAAUGGGGGAAUUGUUGACAAUAAUAAAAAUCAAAUUAAAAUAAUAAGAAUGCAAAUUAAAGUUGUAAUUCAAAUUGGAGAAAGCUCUGGUUGAAGGAAUUAACUCAGCUUGAUUCGACUACUGAUCAUUGAUUCAAAUAUAGAUUAUUAUUACUUAUGAAUAGACCGGUUAUAGCUAUUGAGACCCUCUAAUAGCCAAUCUCUCCUUAACUAGUCGAUAACCAAGGUACGACCGUUAGAUAUUUCCCUAAUCAAUAGAUAACCCUAGAUACGAUCAUAGGAUUUAAUCAAUUGACAGCCUGAAAAAUCAGAGAGACCCAAAUCCUAAUCAACACAUAUGAUGAUUCAUUUAAAUUAAAUUGUUUAUUCUCAUAACACAACUCACUGCUAUGUUAUUUGUCACAAACAUUAAAAUCUUCAUACGAUGAAUCCUUUAAUUGACAAUAGAUUAUGUUGAUAAUUAACUAGUGGCCAAUUACCUAAUUAACAAACAUAAUCAUGAAACUAAUUCAGAGAAUAAAUAAAUACCCAAAAAGUAAUAAAACAAUUAAAGCAUAAGAAAGAUCUCACAGUAGUGAUGAAUCAAAGCUUCAUUAACCUUCAACCAGAAAAAAUAAGUUUAGUUCUUCAUAGAGAAAAGAGAAAAAUUAGAUCUAUGGUUUCUUCCUUUUUCUCCAAUCUCCAAAAAAUCCCCCUUUUUCACAAUAGAUUCCUCCCUUAAAUACUCUCUCUCUCUUCUCUUUUAGAGUUCUAUUUAAAAUAAAAUACUAAUAUCUGAAAUAUUAAAUUCGUAAUUACAAAAAUAGCCAAAAAUACAAAACACGUUAGACUAAAAACUGUAGGUCUGCAGUUGAUAGCACGCGCCCACGCCUUAUCAACAAAGUUCUUCUGCCGCUCAUAAUUUCUCCAAGAGAACAAUCAUCCUUAAACAUCAUCUUGUAGCUCAAUUUUAUCACCAAUUAAUAGAAUUGCACCUACAAAAAUAAAUCACAAGUAAAUCACUAUUAUUAAGUGCAAAACAUCGAUAUUAAGGGAAGUAAACAAUGCAAAACUAGUGCAUAAAUUGCACUCUAACAGUCGUUGAUUGCACAAUUAAACAUCUAAAUCGACUAUUUUAAAUACCAUUUAUAACUGUUUGAUUUAAAUUUGGGACAAACAAUUUAGUCAAAAUAAUAUAUUGUUUUAUUGAUGAAAAUAAUUUUGGUCGCUAGUUAGAACCUAAUGCAACACACUUUUUCCGACUAAAGUCUAACAGUUUAUGUUGUGUCAUAAUAAAUAUAAGGCGACUAAUUUCUUAUCUUUAGUGACUAAACUUUUGUUGUAAGAUACCAUUUUUUUUUUAGUGAAUCUAUUGCUUUGCCCUUGCAACUGCAAUUAAGUCUCUAUUUCAACAAGAAAAUUUUAUCUUUUUAUAUAUCAAGUAUCAUAACUAUGGCGGAUUGUUUAUGGAUGAUUGUCAUCAACUUUAUCACGACAACACAUUGAAGUCAUCUUUCACCAAUAUUUGGAAUUGGUUAACAACAUCAUCUUCACGAUUAAGCCGAACGGACCGCAAGCGAAAAUGUAUAUUAUUAGUCAACAAGUUAACAUCUUUAUACAUCAAUUUAUAUAUCAAUAGGAUAUACCUGAGAAUACGAUAUGACCAUAUACACUAUCAAAACUAUAUUAUUGAAUGAAAACAAACUUCUAAUGAGAACAAAUAUUGAAGAUACAUUUUCAUCUUAUUAAAAUAUGAAACAUAAGUGGAAUCUUUCUGCUGAACUUCUUUAUUUAUACUGGCGGCAGUUGCUGUUGUUCUGUGUAAUAGAUAUUUAUAGCUUCAUACCAUUUCAAAAUGUCAUCGUAAAAUCCACGACACACAUUCAUAAAGAUGAUGCCAUAUUGAUACACCACAAUGAUAAUAGCUGCGCAACCCAAUGCAAUGUAGCAAAUGAUUUCAGCAGCAGUGAAAAAUGCGGAGACCAAUGAGAUUGUAGAAAGAGAUCCAGAGAUUAUAGAAAUAAGGCCCCAGAACUGAGAAGGAUUUGCUUGAUUACAUUGAGACAUCUUAUCUGCUACAAAUGCAAUAUAGUGGAUGAUUGUGGUUGCAAGAAACACAUAUAAACUUACUCCAUGAGUCUCCUUCAACUGCUUAGUUGUGCCUUGCAUGUUCACACCAACAACAGCUGCCAGGGUUGUAUUCAGAUAUCCAAAAACUUUCAGGUACGGAAUAGAGGAAAUGAAAUUGCCAUCACUGCAAAGCCAUCAAUUUGCAUACAUGGAGAGGUUAGCAGAAGCACCAAUAAAGAGACAGAAAGAGAUGUUAUAAGAGUUACAUGUGUGUGUGUGUAAAGGGUUUUAGUUUAAAAAAAUUAUGAUUAAUGCAAGAAAAAAUCUAAUAUACCAGUCUAACAAGGGACCAUCAAGUUCAAGCCUUUACUCUAAAGGCCACAAGAUACUCGUAACCAAGCCUGUGCUCUUUGUUAUGGAAAAAAGAAAUUAAAAAUACAAUUUAGCUGCUUUCAUUCCUUCUCAGAGGACUAAAAAAAAAACUAUAACGAAAAUUUAGUUCAUAUUAAAAAAAAUGGACACACACCGACACCGAGAGAGAUACACACACAUACAUACAUACACACACACACAGAGACAUACAUAUAUGUGUGUGUGUGACUAUAUGCACACAAGUUGCGCGUAGCCUUGCUUGCGAGUGUGCGGUGCAUGCCUCGCUCGAGCAUGGGCAGCCUCGCGCACAAGCGUGCGCUGCCUUGCCGUGGGAGCGUUGCCCAGAUGGCCCGUGCGCGAGCUGCCUCUCCCUCGCUGCCUUGCUCGCGAGCGCGCUCUGCCUGCCUCGCACGAGCGUGGGCAGUUUGACGCGCCAGCGUGGGCUGCACGCCUAGCGCGAGCGCCAGCUUCGUCUCGCGCUUUCUCGCACUAACGGAGGGUAGCUUGCGGGAAGUGGCCUGGGCCUGCUUAUGACGUUAAUCGAACCUCAUUCGGAGUUACCGAAGCCAGAGGCGCCAGCUGGUUUGUUUGCGUUGCCUCCUUCUCCUCCGUCAAGUAAUUACUCAUUCAAAUUAGAAAAUUCAUCCGAGAACGAAGCAACAACUUCUCCGCCGGAAUCGCGAAGAAGUUAAAUUCUCUCGACGAUGCUCGGCCUGAGGCUGAGGCCGAACCGGCGGCGUCGACGGUGAUCAAACCGGACGAGGUGACUCAGUUCAACAUAUCAGGACUCUCUCUCUCUACUCCAAGAACCUCAUUCGGAGUUGCGAAGCCAGAGGCGCCAGCUGGUUUGUUUGCUUUGCCUCCUUCUCCUCCGCCAAGUAAUUACUCAUUCAAAUUAGGAAAAUUCAUCCGAGAACGAAGCAACAACUUCUCCGCCGCAAUCGCGAAGAAGUUAAAUUCUCUCGACGAUGCUCGGGCUGAGGCUGAGCCUGAGCCGGCGGCGUCGACGGUGAUCAAACCGGACGAGGUGACUAAGUUCAACAUAUCAGGACUCUCUCUCUCUACUCCAAAUUAUUUUACAUAAGCAGGCCCAGUCCACUUCCCGCAAGCUACCCUCCGUUAGUGCGAGAAAGCGCACGACGAAGCUCAUAUUAAAAAAAAAAAAAGAAAUUGACUAGCUCUGAAAUACAACUGAAAACAGACAAACUAAACAAAACCAAAAUUAAAAUUGCAAUGAAAAAUAUUGUACGUAAGUACCUUGAAGGAUUAAAGUGCUGUUGAUGAAGAUGAAGAUGGCACUGACAGCUUAUUUGCGUCAUAUUGGAUGCAACUCUUCUUAUUCUUCUUCCUUUUCUUCUUCUCUAUUAUGUCUCUGGUGAACCAUUAUAGAGUCGUAUGGUGUGAUUUUAUAGUCUCGUGCCUCAAACUUAGACUUAUGCAUCCAACCCGUAUCUGCCACGUGGAGAGAGUUGUCGUACCCGCUGCAGAAUAAAGAGAGAAAGUGGAUUGAUAUUUUCGCGAUCAUACCCCACUCAAGUUAACGUCAGUGUCAACUUUUUAUCAUUUAGGGUUUCCUAAAAACUAAUAGAAUCAACUUAUACUUUUCUGUUAAUGUCAGUGUCAACUUCUAUCAUUUAGGGUUUCCUAGAAACUAACAAAUCCAAACAAGACCGUGUUGAUAUCACUACUCCACUCGUAUUUUACAAGGUAGAAGAAUUUACAAAUUAACUUCAUAUAAUUUUUGCUUUAAUUGUGGGAGGUUGAGUCAAUGGAGACUCGAACCACUACCCUCAUAGUCAUUCUUAACUUUGAGAGUAGUAGUUCAUCUAAGUAGCUAACAUGGUCUUGUUUGGAUUUAUAAUCUCGAUCCCAAGUUGGUCUACUGCAGAAGAAAUUCUAGAAUACCUUAGAUAUAUUACAACCAAUUGAUGCAUGUAUGAUAUGUAUAAUUAAAUUUAAUACAGCCAUCACUUGAAUACUGAUUUACAACAUAAAUACACAUAUAUUAUAAUAUUACUUAUUAUAUGAUUAACACGAUACAUUAUAUGUAUUUUAAAAUAGUAGCACAAUUUUUUUUCUUUUAUGAAUAACUCAAACAAGCAAGCAUUUCCUACUGAGAAAUAACGUAGUAGUAGACCAAAUUAGGAACGUCAAAAUGAGCCUUACCUCUUCAAUUUCUAAGAAGCUAUUACAGCAGAGAAGAAAUCAAUAAAGAGAGUCUAAAACAACAUAAAGUUAUGAAAAUCAUAACAACGAAACAAUUAACAUCAUGAGAAAUCAUCCUUGAAAUAAAGAAAAUAACUAUAACGAAAAUUUAGUUCAUAUUAUAAAAUUAAAAAAAAAAAUUGACUACCUCUAAAAUACAACUGAGAACAGACAAAUUAAACAAAACCAAAAUUAAAAUUGCAGUGAAAUAUAUUGUACGUAAGUACCUUGAAGGAUUACAGUGCUGUUGAUGAAGAUGAAGAUGGCACUGGCAGCUUAUUUGCGUCACAUUGGAUGCAACUCUUCUUCUUCUUUAUUAUGUCCCUGGUGAACCAUUAAAGAUUUUAUAGUCUCGUGCCGCAAAUUUAGACUUAUGCAUCCAACCCGUAUCUGCAACGUAGAGAGCGGUGUCCCACUCGCCGAAGAAAAAAGAGAGAAGUGGGUUGAUAUUUUCGCAAUCACACUCGAGUUAACGUCAGUAUCAACUUUAUCAUUUAUUAGGGUUUGCAAAAAGGAGGCUCGUAUGUUACAGAAUAUAAUCAAUUCAUGCCAAAAACACGAAUAUAAUCAAUUCAUACUUUUCUCACUAUUGUUUUUUUUUUUAAAAACUAUUGUUAUUAUUAUGAUGUUAAUUUCGUUAUCAUUUUUUUUUCUUCGGAACUCAUCAAAUUCAAACUCAAUAUGUUCUUAUUAUGAUUUUUUUUAAUACUGAUUACAAAUCAAAUUACUAUAUUAUUUAUAUAUUUAUAACUGUCAUUACAAUAAACAUUACACUGAUAUUUACAAUUAGACAUACAUAACUGAAACUUCCAUUAUAAUAUUAAAUUCUAUUAAAUAUAUGUCCAAAUAAAUAACUCUUACAGAUGAGAGAUGUCUUUGCUCCACUCGUAUUUCUCUCGCAGACAAGUGAUAUCACUACUCCACUCUCAUUUUGCAAGGAAGAAGGACUUACAAAUUAACUCCAUACAAUUUUUGCUUUAAUUGUGGGAGAUUGAGUCCAUGGAGACUCGAAACACUACCCUCAUAGUCAUUCUUAACUUUGAGAGUAGUAGUUCAUUUAAGUAGCUAACAUGGUCUUGUUUGGAUUUAUAAUCUCGACCCCAAGUUGAUCUACUGCAGGAGAAGUUCUAGAAUACCUCAGAUAUAUUACAACCAAUUUAUGCAUGUAUGAUAUGUAUAGUUGAAUUUAAUACAAUUAUUACUUAAAUAUUGAUUUAUAAAAUAAAUACACAUAUCAUGAUAUUACUUAUUAUAUGAUUAACAUGAUACAUUUUAUGUGUUUUAAAAUUUCUCCCCCUACACCUAGCUUGGCUAGAGAUGCUAGUUAGUUAAUUUCCUUUUUUGUGUGGGAGCGUACGCAGUGGUGGAUUUAGAAAAAUAAUUUACCGGGGGCUAAAUUAGAUAAUAA